AAAGGAGAACCAUCUAAGUUUAAUUAGUCUGUACCUAUAAUUAUUUGAGGAAUGCUUCAAUACACCGGAUAAAAUAAAUCUAGCUGUUCAUAUUUUAAGGGCGAGAUUGACUUUUGCAUAGUGGUUACCUGCUCAACAGGUUACCAUUCGUAAAGGUAAUAUGAAAAAAUAAAUACAAACUAAUUACCAAAUUUAAACAACCCUACACAAAUAUUUGUUUUCUUGUUUAAUUUUGUUACUUACCAAAUUAGAU
rnacentral:lncRNA from 1 species